rnacentral:piRNA from 1 species
UUGCAAUUAUGAUUACUGUUGGACAUGCC